rnacentral:rRNA from 1 species
GGGUUGUGAGGUUAAGCGACUAAGCGUACACGGUGGAUGCCUAGGCAAUCAGAGGCGAUGAAGGACGUGCUAAUCUGCGAUAAGCGUCGGUAAGGUGAUAUGAACCGUUAUACCCGACG